AGAGUUUGAUCCUGGCUCAGGACGAACGCUGGCGGCGUGCCUAAUACAUGCAAGUCGAACGCUUCUUUUUCCACCGGAGCUUGCUCCACCGGAAAAAGAGGAGUGGCGAACGGGUGAGUAACACGUGGGUAACCUGCCCAUCAGAAGGGGAUAACACUUGGAAACAGGUGCUAAUACCGUAUAACAAUCAAAACCGCAUGGUUUUGAUUUGAAAGGCGCUUUCGGGUGUCGCUGAUGGAUGGACCCGCGGUGCAUUAGCUAGUUGGUGAGGUAACGGCUCACCAAGGCCACGAUGCAUAGCCGACCUGAGAGGGUGAUCGGCCACAUUGGGACUGAGACACGGCCCAAACUCCUACGGGAGGCAGCAGUAGGGAAUCUUCGGCAAUGGACGAAAGUCUGACCGAGCAACGCCGCGUGAGUGAAGAAGGUUUUCGGAUCGUAAAACUCUGUUGUUAGAGAAGAACAAGGAUGAGAGUAACUGUUCAUCCCUUGACGGUAUCUAACCAGAAAGCCACGGCUAACUACGUGCCAGCAGCCGCGGUAAUACGUAGGUGGCAAGCGUUGUCCGGAUUUAUUGGGCGUAAAGCGAGCGCAGGCGGUUUCUUAAGUCUGAUGUGAAAGCCCCCGGCUCAACCGGGGAGGGUCAUUGGAAACUGGGAGACUUGAGUGCAGAAGAGGAGAGUGGAAUUCCAUGUGUAGCGGUGAAAUGCGUAGAUAUAUGGAGGAACACCAGUGGCGAAGGCGGCUCUCUGGUCUGUAACUGACGCUGAGGCUCGAAAGCGUGGGGAGCAAACAGGAUUAGAUACCCUGGUAGUCCACGCCGUAAACGAUGAGUGCUAAGUGUUGGAGGGUUUCCGCCCUUCAGUGCUGCAGCUAACGCAUUAAGCACUCCGCCUGGGGAGUACGACCGCAAGGUUGAAACUCAAAGGAAUUGACGGGGGCCCGCACAAGCGGUGGAGCAUGUGGUUUAAUUCGAAGCAACGCGAAGAACCUUACCAGGUCUUGACAUCCUUUGACCA
rnacentral:rRNA from 1 species